UUCGAGCGGCGUAUUGGUACGAA
rnacentral:siRNA from 1 species